rnacentral:rRNA from 1 species
UCCAGCCAUGCCGCGUGAGUGAAGAAGGCCUUCGGGUUGUAAAGCUCUUUCAGACGGAAAGAAAUCGGUGUGUUUAAUACAUGCACUGGAUGACGGUACCGUAAGAAGAAGCACCGGCUAACUACGUGCCAGCAGCCGCGGUAAUACGUAGGGUGCGAGCGUUAAUCGGAAUUACUGGGCGUAAAGCGUGCGCAGGCGGUUAUGUAAGACAGAUGUGAAAUCCCCGGGCUCAACCUGGGAGCUGCGUUUGUGACUGCAUAACUAGAGUACGGCAGAGGGAGGUGGAAUUCCACGUGUAGCAGUGAAAUGCGUAGAGAUGUGGAGGAACACCGAUGGCGAAGGCAGCCUCCUGGGCCAGUACUGACGCUCAUGCACGAAAGCGUGGGGAGCAAACAGGAUUAGAUACCCUG